rnacentral:rRNA from 1 species
AGAGUUUGAUCAUGGCUCAGAUUGAACGCUGGCGGCAGGCUUAACACAUGCAAGUCGAGCGGUAACAUUUCUAGCUUGCUAGAAGAUGACGAGCGGCGGACGGGUGAGUAAUGCUUGGGAAUAUGCCUUUACGUGGGGGACAACAGUUGGAAACGACUGCUAAUACCGCAUAAUGUCUUCGGACCAAAGGAGGGGACUCUUCGGAGCCUUUCGCGUAAAGAUUAGCCCAAGUGGGAUUAGCUAGUUGGUAAGGUAAUGGCUUACCAAGGCGACGAUCCCUAGCUGGUUUGAGAGGAUGAUCAGCCACACUGGGACUGAGACACGGCCCAGACUCCUACGGGAGGCAGCAGUGGGGAAUAUUGCACAAUGGGCGAAAGCCUGAUGCAGCCAUGCCGCGUGUGUGAAGAAGGCCUUCGGGUUGUAAAGCACUUUCAGUCGUGAGGAAGGGGUAGUAAUUAAUACUUGCUAUCUUUGACGUUAGCGACAGAAGAAGGACCGGCUAACUCCGUGCCAGCAGCCGCGGUAAUACGGAGGGUCCGAGCGUUAAUCGGAAUUACUGGGCGUAAAGCGUACGCAGGCGGCUUGUUAAGCCAGAUGUGAAAUCCCCGGGCUCAACCUGGGAAUGGCAUUUGGAACUGGCAAGCUAGAGUUUUGUAGAGGGUGGUAGAAUUUCAGGUGUAGCGGUGAAAUGCGUAGAGAUCUGAAGGAAUACCAGUGGCGAAGGCGGCCACCUGGACAAAAACUGACGCUCAUGUACGAAAGCGUGGGGAGCAAACAGGAUUAGAUACCCUGGUAGUCCACGCCGUAAACGAUGUCUACUAGUUGUCUGUGAGUUUAACUCGUGGGUAACGCAGCUAACGCAUUAAGUAGACCGCCUGGGGAGUACGGCCGCAAGGUUAAAACUCAAAUGAAUUGACGGGGGCCCGCACAAGCGGUGGAGCAUGUGGUUUAAUUCGAUGCAACGCGAAGA